AUUGAACGCUGGCGGCAUGCCUUACACAUGCAAGUCGAACGGUAACAGGUCUUCGGAUGCUGACGAGUGGCGAACGGGUGAGUAAUACAUCGGAACGUGCCUAGUAGUGGGGGAUAACUACUCGAAAGAGUGGCUAAUACCGCAUGAGAUCUACGGAUGAAAGCAGGGGAUCGCAAGACCUUGUGUUACUAGAGCGGCCGAUGGCAGAUUAGGUAGUUGGUGGAUAAAAGCUUACCAAGCCGACGAUCUGUAGCUGGUCUGAGAGGACGAUCAGCCACACUGGGACUGAGACACGGCCUAGACUCCUACGGGAGGCAGCAGUGGGGAAUUUUGGACAAUGGGCGCAAGCCUGAUCCAGCAAUGCCGCGUGCAGGAUGAAGGCCUUCGGGUUGUAAACUGCUUUUGUACGGAACGAAAAGCCCCGGGUUAAUACCCUGGGGUCAUGACGGUACCGUAAGAAUAAGCACCGGCUAACUACGUGCCAGCAGCCGCCGCCG
rnacentral:rRNA from 1 species